CCGCUAGGAGAAGAUGAGAUGGUGUCCUACAUCCUCGCGGGGCUCGACAUCGAGUACAACCCGCUCGUCUCUGCACUAGAUGCAAAGACCGAUGGCAUCACACUUGGUGAGCUGUACUCACAUAUGUCGAACUUCGACA
rfam:Brachypodium distachyon strain Bd21 chromosome 4, whole genome shotgun sequence.